GAUGAACGCUGGCGGCGUGCCUAAUACAUGCAAGUCGAGCGAACGGACGAGAAGCUUGCUUCUCUGAUGUUAGCGGCGGACGGGUGAGUAACACGUGGAUAACCUACCUAUAAGACUGGGAUAACUUCGGGAAACCGGAGCUAAUACCGGAUAAUAUUUUGAACCGCAUGGUUCAAAAGUAAAAGACGGUCUUGCUGUCACUUAUAGAUGGAUCCGCGCUGCAUUAGCUAGUUGGUAAGGUAACGGCUUACCAAGGCAACGAUGCAUAGCCGACCUGAGAGGGGGAGCGGCCACACGGGAAGGGAGAAAGGGCCGAGACUCCACGGGGAGGCCGCAGGAGGGAAUCUUCCGAAAGGGGCGAAGGCCUGAGGGAGCAACGCGGGGGGAGGGAUGAAGGUCUGCGGAUCGUAAAACUUUUUUAUGGGGGAAGAAAAUAUGUGUAAGUACCUUUGCACGCCUGGAGGGUACAUAAUAAGAAAGCCAGGGCUAACUACGGG
rnacentral:rRNA from 1 species